rnacentral:lncRNA from 10 species
CCACUACCUACCUAAAUCUCAUAAAGCUGCCCCACCCCAUUUGCCUUUGCUGACUCCUUUCUCAGACUCAGUCCACUUGCACCCAAGUGAAAUAAACAGCCUUGUUGCUCACAUAAAGCCUGUUAAUGGACUCACUUCACAUGGAUGCGUGUGACAUUUGGUGCUGAAGACCUGGGACAAGGGACUCCUUUAGGAGACUGGUCUCCUGUCCUCUCCCUCACUCCAUGAGGAGAUCCACCUAUGACCUCGGGUCCUCAGACCAACCAGCCCAAGGAACAUCUCACUAACUUCAAAUCAGUAGAGACAAAGGAGACAUGUUUUACCUGUGAACUCAAAACUCCAGCGCUGAUCAUGGACUCAGGAAGAUAGUCUUCCCUUGGUGUCUAAAUCAUUGUGGGGACACCUGCCUGACCCUUCACCCACAUUUCAGAGGUGUCUGAUCAACAUGGGAAUGCUUGCCUUGAUCUUUCACCUUGGUGGCAAUUACCACCUCCCCUGGGUGGCAAGCACCAUCUCCCCUGGAUGGCAAGUACCACCUCCCCCACCUCUGUUUCUCUACCCUCUCUUUUAUCUGGGUUUGCCUCCUUCACUAUAGGCAAAUUUCCACCCUCCACUUCCCCUUCUUCUCCCUUAGCCUGUGUUCUCAAGAACUUAAAACCUCUUUAACUCACACCUGACCUGAAACAUAAAUGCCUUCUUUUCUUGUGCAAUAUUGCUGGCCCCCAAAACAAAAUCAACAAUGGUUCCAAAUAGCCAGAAAAUGGCACUUUUGAUUUCUCCAUCCUACAAGACCUAGAUAAUUUUUGUCAAAAAAUGGGCAAAUGGUCUGAGGUGACUGACAUCCAGACAUUUUUCACACUUUGUUCCCACCCUAGUGUCUGUUCCCAAUGCAACUCUUCCCAAAUCCUCCUUCUUUCCAAACUGCCUGUCCCUUCAGUCCCAAACCCAAGUGUCACUGAGUCUUUUGAAUCUUCCUUUUUCACAGUCCCAUCUGACCUCUCUCCUCCUCCCCAGACUGCUUCUCCUCAGGUCACUCCCUGCCAGGCUGAAUCAGGCUCCAACUCUUCUUCAGCCUCUGCUCCCCCACCCUACAACACUUCUG